UGGGAACCUUCCUAGGGGUACGGAACAACUCAGGGAAACUUGAGCUAAUACCGUAUACGUCCGUGAGGAGAAAGAUUUAUCGCCCCUAGACGGGCCCGCGUAGGAUUAGGUAGUUGGUGAGGUAACGGCUCACCAAGCCUACGAUCCUUAGCUGAUCUGAGAGGAUGAUCAGCCACAUUGGGACUGAGACGCCGGCCCAGACUCCGUACGGGAGGCAG
rnacentral:rRNA from 1 species